GGGGAAUAUUGCACAAUGGAGGAAACUCUGAUGCAGCGACGCCGCGUGAAGGAUGAAGUAUUUCGGUAUGUAAACUUCUAUCAGCAGGGAAGAAAAUGACGGUACCUGACUAAGAAGCCCCGGCUAACUACGUGCCAGCAGCCGCGGUAAAACGUAGGGUGCAAGCGUUGUCCGGAAUUACUGGGUGUAAAGGGAGCGCAGGCGGACCGGCAAGUUGGGAGUGAAAUCCAUGGGCUCAACCCGUGAAUUGCUUUCAAAACUGCUGGCCUUGAGUAGUGCAGAGGUAGGUGGAAUUCCCGGUGUAGCGGUGGAAUGCGUAGAUAUCGGGAGGAACACCAGUGGCGAAGGCGACCUACUGGGCACCAACUGACGCUGAGGCUCGAAAGCAUGGGUAGCAAACAGGAUUAGAUACCCUGGUAGUCCAUGCCGUAAACGAUGAUUACUAGGUGUUGGAGGAUUGACCCCUUCAGUGCCGCAGUUAACACAAUAAGUAAUCCACCUGGGGAGUACGACCGCAAGGUUGAAACUCAAAGGAAUUGACGGGGGCCCGCACAAGCAGUGGAGUAUGUGGUUUAAUUCGAAGCAACGCGAAGAACCUUACCAGGUCUUGACAUCCGAUGCAUAGUGCAGAGAUGCAUGAAGUCCUUCGGGACAUCGAGACAGGUGGUGCAUGGUUGUCGUCAGCUCGUGUCGUGAGAUGUUGGGUUAAGUCCCGCAACGAGCGCAACCCUUAUUGCCAGUUACUACGCAAGAGGACUCUGGCGAGACUGCCGUUGACAAAACGGAGGAAGGUGGGGAUGACGUCAAAUCAUCAUGCCCUUUAUGACCUGGGCUACACACGUACUACAAUGGCGUUUAACAAAGAGAAGCAAGACCGCGAGGUGGAGCAAAACUCAGAAACAACGUCUCAGUUCAGAUUGCAGGCUGCAACUCGCCUGCAUGAAGUCGGAAUUGCUAGUAAUCGCGGAUCAGCAUGCCGCGGUGAAUACGUUCCCG
rnacentral:rRNA from 1 species